CAUCCCUGAAGGUCACGAACCCGAAUCCCCUGGAUCUCCCAGUCUCGCGAUCGUUAAUGAUCUGAAUGAUGAAUUCACCACAAGAGAAGAAAAAGAAACAUCAGAUCCGAAGGCAGAUAGAUCCAGAAUUUAAUCAUUAGAUCUGAAACACAAAAUUAACGAUUCAAUCUUCGUCUCUUUGGGGAUAAAAAGAGGAAGACAGAACGUACCGUUUCAGGGUAUUUCGAAUAAUAGUAACACAAAUAGUAACAGUAACAAGAGUAACAGAGUAACACAGAGUAACAGUAGGUGAAGAUCAAGAGUCAACAAAGCCGAAUCGGGUCGGAUCCGAUCUCUGCGACCACAAACAGACCUUC
rnacentral:lncRNA from 1 species